CCCCUCACCCCCUCCUCUCUUUUUUCUUUCUCUGUCUCUGUCGUCUCUCUCGCUGGCUUUUUAAAAAUGAGGAACCGUUCCUUGAACGUUCUGGACAGAGAACAGAAUUGCUUAAGUCAGCCCGACACGGUUGUAAUAGACAGCAAAAAGGUAAACGUUUGCCUGAAAUCCGCACGCCAGCUCCACCACCCCGCCCGAUGGGAUAACCGGUUUCUAAAACAUUGUGGAAUUCAAGGCUCCAUAAUGGAAUCAAGAAGUCAUGAACGGUUCCCUUGGAAGGAAGCUUGGAGGACACUGGUCCAACUUCCCACUGAAGCCAGAGGUCUGGAAAUGGGCAGAUGGUCAGGCAGACACCGAUUCAGCAUUUUCAAGAGUUGUAAAUUCAAGACAGGAUGAAGAAAAAAAGGAGGAUAUGCAUUACUAAGAAUCAAAGGAAGUGCCUGACUCUAUAACAAAGAGAAAAGCUUCAGAAUAAUUGUACAACACGAAGACAGAAAUAACCAUGUUAAGAGGUCAUUGGUCCGACUUCUCCAGAAACUUCCCCUGGGCAGCGGUCUCUACCUCUGUUACAGAAGACUGCAAAAAUACCAGCCAUUGUGCAUCUGGCCAAUUAUGCAAUGUUCUAUCACAAGGGGAAAUUCCUUCCUCACUCCAGCUGCUCCUGAUGCAGCUGCUGCCUGCGGACCCCCUGUACUGCCUGGGGAAGUGAGUCAGGACUCCUGCAGCGGAUGGGUGGGGCAGCUCAAGAUGAUCUGAAGGUGGCCCAAACAACAGUGCUUUCCAGAUGCGGGUGAGGUUAUAGCCAAGAUCAUCACUGGUAGAGUAUCUUGUUCUUAAUUUUUACAACCUAAAAAGAACACACAAGACUCAAAGGUCAUUGGGGAAGGAGGAAUAAAGUCAGUAAAGAACAGGAAAAUGGGAAGAGGUUUUGUUUUGUUUUUAAUAAAGAAUUUGAGCUCUUUUACACCAAAAGAGAGAGAAGGAAAAAAAGCGGCCUUUUAUAGGUAUGAAGAGAGCCCUGGCUCUCUCUCUCUCUCUUCUACAGGGAAAAUUCUGGAUUUGCAGAGAGAGAGAGAGAGAUUGAGGAUAUAAGGAGAGCCUGACUAAGGAACAGAAAAUGAUGGAGAGUAAGACAAAAAGGGAGAAAAAGAUCAAAAGACAUUGUUGCCUUCCCUUAUCUGCUGUUGAAGUAAAUGUGAUGUUUGUUGAGAACCAACCAGGCCUGCUCCAGUUAUUUAUUUCUGUAUGACAGAUUCAGUCUGACACUUACUCACAUAAAACCACAACCAACAUUUUAUUAUGAUCCGUCAUGGUUCUGA